rnacentral:lncRNA from 1 species
CCCAACAUGGGCCUUUACACGACCAUAUCCCUUUAAAAAACCCUAAAUACCAAUUUUUUUUAUCUUCUUCCUCCCCCAACCCUUUCCCAAAAACCCUAGCUAUCAAUUUUCCCCUUCUCCUCACCAUUCUGACCAGCCACCGUCAUGCUUCUUCUUCACUCAUCUCCCUUUGCUGACGAUCAACAAACCAACCCUCUCUAUUCUUUUCCUUCACCCCCUUUCUAGCGCUACCCCUUUCCCCUUUUUCAUUCUCCCUCAUCAACAACUAGCCACCCCAGUCUGCCCCUUCCUCAUCCCUCAAAUUCUCCCUUUUCCCCCUUUUUCUCCCUUUCUUUUCCUUUCUCCCUCGUCAACACCUUCGGGCUACCUUUCAUCGUCAAGACACCCCCUCCCUUCCUCUUCAUCUCCUCUCCCUUUAACCUGUCCCCCAAGCCUCCGUCCUCCUCACCAUUCCCCUUACUCUCUCCCCGUUCAUCCUCUAUUGUCGGAACCUCACCUCCAGUUAUCUAUUGCUGCAUCUCCUCCUUCGCGUGUGCCAUCGUGAUUCACCUAACCCCCACCAUUUUCCCUCUUCUUUUUCUUCCUUUCUUUAUUUGUUUUUCUUUUUCCUUUAUUUAUUUAUUUAUUUAUUUUGUUUCUUAUUAUUAUUUCUUAUUAUUAUUAUUACCAUUGACACUAGUCUUAUUUUCCCUACUGUUAACUCUAGUUUUACUCUUAUUUUCUUGUUAUGUCUAUUAUUGUUGUUUUUAUUCUUAUCACUAUUAUUACUGUUCUCGAUAGUUUAUUUUUAUUAUUAAUUGUAUUUGGCUUUGUUGAUUUUUA